AGUGAACGCUGGCGGUAGGCCUAACACAUGCAAGUCGAACGGCAGCACAGUAAGAGCUUGCUCUUACGGGUGGCGAGUGGCGGACGGGUGAGGAAUACAUCGGAAUCUACUUUUUCGUGGGGGAUAACGUAGGGAAACUUACGCUAAUACCGCAUACGACCUACGGGUGAAAGUAGGGGAUCUUCGGACCUUGCGCGAUUGAAUGAGCCGAUGUCGGAUUAGCUAGUUGGCGGGGUAAAGGCCCACCAAGGCGACGAUCCGUAGCUGGUCUGAGAGGAUGAACAGCCACACUGGAACUGAGACACGGUCCAGACUCCUACGGGAGGCAGCAGUGGGGAAUAUUGGACAGUGGGCGCAAGCCUGAUCCAGCCAUACCGCGUGGGUGAAGAAGGCCUUCGGGUUGUAAAGCCCUUUUGUUGGGAAAGAAAAGCAGCAGGUUAAUACCCCGCUGUUCUGACGGUACCCAAAGAAUAAGCACCGGCUAACUUCGU
rnacentral:rRNA from 1 species